UACUCUCACACUCUCUGAUCCUUUGGAUUCAGAAAGUGGUGGACUUGGGUGUUUGCUGCUUUCCUGGUGGCUCACCUCAAAUGCGUUAGUGCACCUCUUGGUUGGACAUAGUACGGCGUGAUAAGUAUCUUCGCCGGCACCUCGCAAGAGGGUGGCCGAUUGGGAGCUCUGUGCUUUCAAACCGUCUUCGGACAAUCUCUGACA
rnacentral:misc_RNA from 1 species